rnacentral:rRNA from 1 species
AUUGAACGCCGGCGAAAUGCUUUACGCAUGCAAGUCGAACGGCAGCACGAACUUCGGUCUGGUGGCGAGUGCGAACGGGUGAGUAAUGUAUCGGAACGUGCCCAGUCGUGGGGGAUAACGUAGUGAAAAUUACGCUAAUACCGCAUACGAUCUAUGGAUGAAAGCGGGGGAUCGCAAGACCUCGCGCGAUUGGAGCGGCCGAUAUCAGAUUAGGUAGUUGGUGGGGUAAAGGCCCACCAAGCCAACGAUCUGUAGCUGGUCUGAGAGGACGACCGGCCACACUGGAACUGAGACACGGUCCAGACUCCUACGGGAGGCAGCAGUGGGGAAUUUUGGACAAUGGGCGAAAGCCUGAUCCAGCCAUUCCGCGUGCAGGAUGAAGGCCCUCGGGUUGUAAACUGCUUUUGUACAGAACGAAAAGGUUUCUACUAAUACUAGGAGCUCAUGACGGUACUGUAAGAAUAAGCACCGGCUAACUACGUGCCAGCCGCCGCCGUAA